CUUGAAUUUAGUAAGAAGUCUGGCCUGUCCMCUGGUAUAUGAAGGMCCGCGGUAUUUUGACCGUGCAAAGGUAGCAUAAUCAUUAGUCUUUUAAUUGAAGGCUGGAAUGAAUGGUUUGACGAAACAAUAACUGUCUCUGAAUUAUUAAAUUGAAUUUUAUUUUUAAGUUAAAAAGCUUAAAUGAUAUUAAGGGACGAGAAGACCCUAUAGAUCUUUAUAUUUUUAUUAAUUAAAAUGUAUUGGUUGAUUUUUAUUUAUUUAAUAAUAAUAUUUUGUUGGGGUGACAUAUGAAUAUUUUAACUUCUUAAUUUUUAAUUUUGAUAAAUAAAUAUAAUAUCCUAUAUUAUGGAAUUGAGAUUAAGAUACCUUAGGGAUAACAGCGUAAUUUUGUUGGAGAGUUCUUAUCGAUAAUAAGGAUUGCGACCUCGAUGUUGGAUUAAGAAUAUAAAUUGGUGUAGUAGUUAAUUAUAUUGGUCUGUUCGACCAUUAAAUMCUUACW
rnacentral:rRNA from 1 species